UGACGUCAAGUCCUCAUGGCCUUUAUGCCCAGGGCUACACACGUGCUACAAUGGGCGGUACAAAGAGAAGCAACCUCGCGAGGGUGAGCAAAUCUCAAAAAGCCGUUCUCAGUUCGGAUUGAAGUCUGCAACUCGACUUCAUGAAGUCGGAAUCGCUAGUAAUCGCGGAUCAGCAUGCCGCGGUGAAUACGUUCCCGGGCCUU
rnacentral:rRNA from 1 species